rnacentral:rRNA from 1 species
UACAGAGGUCCCAAGCGUUGUUCGGAUUCACUGGGCGUAAAGGGUGCGCAGGUGGUCGGGUAAGUCUGAUGUGAAAUCCCGCAGCUUAACUGCGGAAUGGCAUUGGAUACUAUUCGGCUAGAGGGUUGGAGGGGUGACUGGAAUUCUCGGUGUAGCAGUGAAAUGCGUAGAUAUCGAGAGGAACACCAGUUGCGAAGGCGAGUCCCUGUACAACUCCUGACGCUGAGGCACGAAAGCUAGGGGAGCAAACAGG